UCCGUAGGUGGACCUGCGGAAGGAUCAUUAACGCGCCGUGGGGGGUCGGACCCUAACCGGGACCCCGGCCCCCUCACCUGGCCACCCUUGUCUAUUUUACCUGUUGCUUCGGCGGGCCUGCAGCGAUGCUGCCGGGGGAGUUCUCUCCCCGGGCCCGUGCCCGCCGAGGACACCGUAGAACUUCUGGUUAAAGAUUGAUGUCUGAGACUAUAACUAUAAUCAGUUAAAACUUUCAACAACGGAUCUCUUGGUUCCGGCAUCGAUGAAGAACGCAGC
rnacentral:rRNA from 1 species